AGAGUUUGAUCUUGGCUCAGAUUGAACGCUGGCGGCGUGCCUAACACAUGCAAGUCGAACGAGAAUAAGGGAGCUUGCUUUUUUAUUCUAGUGGCGCACGGGUGAGUAACACGUGGAUGAUCUACCCAUCAGUUCGGGAUAACAGUUGGAAACGGCUGCUAAUACCGGAUACGAUCUUUUUUCACUGUUAAGGUGAAAGGCGGCCUCUGCUUGCACGCUGUCGCUGAUGGAUGAGUCCGCGGCUCAUUAGGUAGUUGGUGGGGUAACGGCCUACCAAGCCGACGAUGAGUAGCCGGCCUGAGAGGGUAAUCGGCCACACUGGGACUGGAACACGGCCCAGACUCCUACGGGAGGCAGCAGUGGGGAAUAUUGCGCAAUGGGCGAAAGCCUGACGCAGCGACGCCGCGUGAGGGAUGAAGGCCUUCGGGUCGUAAACCUCUGUCAGGAGGGAAGAAGUGUGCGGGUGCUAAUCAGCCCGUAUUUGACGGUACCUCCAAAGGAAGCACCGGCUAACUCCGUGCCAGCAGCCGCGGUAAUACGGAGGGUGCGAGCGUUAAUCGGAAUCACUGGGCGUAAAGCGCGCGUAGGCGGCUUUGUCAGUCAGGGGUGAAAUCCCACGGCCCACCCGUGGAACUGCCUUUGAUACUGCUUAGCUUGAGUGUGUGAGAGGAUAGCGGAAUUCCUGGUGUAGGAGUGAAAUCCGUAGAGAUCAGGAGGAACAUCAGUGGCGAAGGCGGCUAUCUGGCACAAUACUGACGCUGAGGUGCGAAAGCGUGGGUAUCAAACAGGAUUAGAUACCCUGGUAGUCCACGCUGUAAACGAUGGAUACUAGGUGCUGGGAGCACGACUCUCGGUGCCGUAGCUAACGCGUUAAGUAUCCCGCCUGGGGAGUACGGUCGCAAGGCUGAAACUCAAAGGAAUUGACGG
rnacentral:rRNA from 1 species